rnacentral:lncRNA from 1 species
GAUAAAAUCAGAAGUUUAAGGGGUACUUUUAAAUUACAAAAUAUGAUCUGGUUGCCCUAAAUUCCCUCUAUAAAAGAUCAUUUUGCCAAUGAUUAUGGCACAGAAAAAAGAGUAAAAAAAGGUAAACGGCUGAAAACAAACUUUCCUAAAAGGUUCUUAAGAAAUUUUGAGCUUUCUUUUGUUAUGGGGUUCUUCUUGGCUGGAUUCCAAAAGCUGGAACAGAAUAUUGGGUUUCUUCAUUGCUGAUUUUUGCUGAGUUGAGCUAGGAACUGUAAGUUGCUUUGUUUCUUUAAGUUGUUUUUCAUUUUGCUAGGUAUAUUUCUGAAUUUUGUAUGCUUUGUUGAGUUAUCUUGAAUGAGAUAUUAUUUUCCUUAAAACUCUGAGCAUAAAUAAAGUUGGAUUGUUUAUUCUCGCAACGUUCUUGAAAUUUCCAGCCUAUUAAAGCUUUAAAUCUAUGUUAGCUAUUCAUUUGCUUUAUUAAUUUGUGUAAUGGUUGGAGUAUGAGGACAAUGGAAAUGUUCCAUUGAUAUCCAAUAGUUGAUGAUACAUGCAUUUUGAAUAUCAUGAUGUUUUCUUCUUUUCUUUCUUUCAGAAACAUUACUAUGCUUAUUGUGAGUAGCAUGAGGCAUUCGUUGUUAAAUGUUCUUUGGUUUUAAAGUUGUAGUAACAAGAGCUUUACUAUAAGUGGUCUGUAUAUGAAAUAUGUAGAUUUGUUUUUAAUUUGAAGAGUGGAAAGUUAUUUACUAUUGAUUACUUAGCUGUAGUUUGCAGAUAUGACCACUAACCGGUUAGAUUGGUAAGCUUUAAAGCUAAGGAAGGUAUUUAAAGUCGCUGAGAAAGGGGUUUGGAGCCGAAGAUUUAAUUAGAUCAUGUAUUAGUUUAGUUUGUUUUUGUAAAUUAUUUUGUAUACAUUAGAAUGCAUUAAUUAUCAAGAGUUGUGAUUGAAAUGGCCAAAACUGUAAAUUUCAGAUUCUAGGUAGUCUUCUUUUGAAGUUCUGAAGGCCAAUAAUUUACGUUUUCUGCGUAUUUGCUGUGUUGGACAAUUACCACAAACUUAAAUAUUUGUAUAAGGAAUUUGGAGUCAACUUAUUGUAUUGGGCUUGGUCGAGUUUAGUUAUUAGUUCAGAAAAGAAUCCUAGUGAAUUAUAAUAAAAAUUAUACGGGGCACUCUAUUUGGUCGCCCUCAUUUAACAUA